ensembl:lncRNA
CGGCGAACCUGCCUCCAUAAUGCUUCGCAACAGCACAAAACAAUAAAACACGAAAGAUCUUUCAAGUUUGGUCCAUUUUCAGAGGUACAGCAUGAAAACAGAUAGGAUAGGAGUGUUUAGGUUGAAUGUGUACUCUAAUCGGUAUGACAGCACUCCGCCAGUACAUGUGUGGGUGUGAAUGUGUAACUCUGGAGAUCUCUCUAAAAUGUUCAGACACGAGUGCCAAACUGUUUUUUGGAACAAUGUGAACCACAGAUUCUUUUAAUUUUCUGUCUUGGGUGCGUCACCCAUACCUUUCCUAUGUGUGUGGGGCAUGCUCUCUGGUUCUUAUUUGGAUGCACACAAUGCGCUGUAAUCUGUGAUGUAUGAAACUCCACACACUGCCACUGAACUACCUAAGGUGAGAAGAUGCCGGUAGAAAUGAGCAUUGCUCUCUUGCACCUGGUUCCCAUAAGAUGGGCUGACCUCUGUGUGUGUAUAAUGACCAGAGCUGGACUACUGCAGUUGCAUUUUGGCCCAAUGGAUGGCAAUGUUUCACAACUUCCCCUGCAGUCGGUCACUAUAGGUUGAAGUCACCAACCUGACUGAGAAGUUUUUAAUCGUAAUACAUGCACUAGCCCUUCCUUUGACAAAUACAUCUUCUUUACCAUGAAGUGGCAAUGAUGGAUGCAUACUUGAAUGAGUAUCACAUGACACUGAUUUGCCACUAGAAGAGCAGGGCUGCAGUCAAAUAGUCUUCUUUGCUUGGGUUCCUAACUGAGUGAAAUGACCCAGAAGUAUCGAAGUGGCAGCCAUGAUAAGAGCUGGUCGAAGUCUCUAAAUGCUGAAGGAAAGGUGCUUCAAUGCUUCCUUUCUUAUCUCCUUUAGCAUAGGGUACACUGAACCGUCCUUUACGAAAGGAAAGGAGAUAAUGCAGUCCCACAAUUUCUUGGCAGCAACAACAAAUAAUCAACAUGACCCACGUCAAUAACAUCUGCAGUCGCAUAAUUACGUAGGCUAGCGUAAGUGCAGUCGGAUUCUCUUGCUCUGUGGUUGUCUUUUCCUCAUUCUCCUUAACAUUUUUCCUUGACCUCAUCACGUUUUCCAUUGAGUUCAAGGAAAAAUGUUUGGGAAAGGACAUUGUUCGUAAUUUCUUUUUGACUAUUCGACAACAGCCCGGGUCAGUGGACUUAGAGGAGAAUCUUCUCAUGAUUAUACAGCUCCUGUCUGAUUAUAUCUCCCUCAUUCCCAUGACAACCUGUAGAGAUUACACCUUGCACAGACAUCUGCAAAUAUCCAGAAAUGUGAUGGUCAUUUGUUGACUGAGUAAUUACAAUUGACUUGAUUUCCAAACAAAAUAAACAAACAAAAACAGAUGAAAUGGAGAGAAAUUCAAUUCUAGUCAUUAUACUUUAAAGGUUUCUGAUAUUUGGCAAACACAUUUUUGGACCUCUUCUUUUUUUUAAAUACUAUGUACAUUCACAUUAAGUUACUGUUGUUAUUUUAAAUAUAUUUCUAUGUAUAUUUUUUUGUUAUAAGUCACCCUAAGGGCCGUUUCUGUGGUUCCCUUCAGUAGCUGAAUUCUCUUUCCCAUAUUGCACCUCUUGUUCUCUCUCACUGUCUAACAAUGCGAGCAAUAGAAAAUAUUCUACAGGAGGAUUUCCUUUCUCAUUGAUAUAGAUACAACAAAUUGAAGAAUAGAUAAAACACAGGCUUCUCCUCCUUCGGUGUCUCCAACCCCCCUCACAUUUUCUGUGAAUGUUUGUUUCUGAACCUGAAGGGAGAAAAAAAUAAACCAAACAAACAAACAAAACUUUCCCCCUCUUUCUGACUCACACACCAGGACAGCAAAGGCAGACAGAGACAUCGAGGAAACAGAAAGGAAUAUCUACAAGCAGGGAUUUUUGAUCCUUUCACAGAUAUGUACUCGCUGGGUGUGUCAAAGAAGCAAAGCAGGUUUGACAAAAAGGGGCAUUGAACACACGGGGGCAUUGCCAAGGGGAGGUAGAAAGAGAGAGUGAGAGAGAUAGCUAGAGAGAAAAGAACCAAGUCUACACCACCUAUGAGGCUCUUUAAAGUCUGUUUCUUGUCAUGCUUUGGAAAAAAAUGUGGGAAAGUGGAAAAAAAGAUGAAACUCCAAUGUUUAACGUCUCAGUCUUCACAGCGCUUUAAAAAAAGAAACAGAACAUGAAGAACAUGAAGGCUUACUCUUAGUGUACAAUGCUCACAGACAGACAGACUCACAGUUCAUAUUUCAGUCUUUUUUUUUUAAGGGGGGGGGAUGUCUGGGGCAGUUCCAAUGCCAUUUUUUUCUCCUCAAGGGCAAAUACAAGUCUUUUCCCCAGACACAAUUUCAUUGUCCCAGGUAGCUUCCCUUUUCCUUCCAGAACGAUCUCUCCAGGUCAUUUUUUUCUGCUUGUCUGGAUGUGUAUUUGUUUGUGUGUUUACGUGAGUGUGUGUCUGUGUUUUGUGUCUCAUGUGUCAUCCAUCUACUCAGAAGUUCUUUUUCUGCCAUCGAUGUGAAUUCACAUUAUUUGACUCAAUAGUGUCUGUCAACCCGUUAGCGGGUAGCUGCAGUGCAUUUAGUCUGUAGAGUUAUUUGGGGAUUUUGUUUCCAUUUCCUUUGAUGUUUUUUGGAGGUGAGUGAGGGUGUGUUUGUGUGUGUGUGUUCAUAUGUGGGGAGAUAAGGUGUUCGCUGUGGCCCCCACUCACACAGCCUGCUUGCUCUUACAGGGCUGGCUUUGCUGAGGAGUUGAAGUAGUCGUUUUGUGUUUGGUUACAAGAUGAGUGCUUCUCCUUGUCGCUCAGUAACUUUGGCAGUGUCAUAAAAAGGUUUGGAUUCUGUUUUUUUUCUCCUCAAAAAUUCAUUUGGGUUCACAUCAGUAAAGAGAGGUGAGUCUGGUGUAGGUUUUCUUGGCUCGCUAGCAAGGUAGUUAACAGGUUUUCUUAAAAAGGUUUUUGUUAUUAUUAU